UAAAUGCACAUGUUGUAAAUUUUGCUCAAAGCUCAUGUACACUGGCCAGGCUGGUGAACCUCUAGCAGACCAGAAUCUUGUAUCUUCAGAAUCUGAGGACACUGUGGUCACGGACACAGAGCCCUUUCCAGGAAACUUAACAGCAUGAAUGUACUCCAGGCAAUGUGUAAAAAGGAUAACUCAAAUUAACAAUAUUUAAUAAUUUUGCAAUUCAGGCUUCAUUAAGGUACAUAAUAGCGGAAGGAUUAAAUCCAGAACUGAAUACUUCAAAUGCAGGCCUAAAUCUGAAAAAAUACACACUAUUUGCAUGCUGACAGAGCUAGCAGUCAUCAGGUAAAUAAUAAUAAAAUUAAAAAAACUUCACCGUGAGGGUUAACUAUGUGGAAGCUGGCCAGCACUUGCUUAAAAAAAAUCACCCCCAUAUUACUUUAAGGGAGGUUUUUAACUUCUCUAUGCCCCCACCUGCAUAGACACUUAUUUUAAUCCAGACACAGAAUGCAUCCGGGCGAUUGUUGCAGAUGUGCUUGGACCAACCAAAUUUUGACUGGGUUUGGCUUUAGGAAAUGUAAGAAUGGUUGGAAUUCGGCCAUCUUCACCAGUUUGUGUCCUUCUGGACAAAAUGCAGUGUUUAGUG